rnacentral:lncRNA from 1 species
UAGAGGGUAUCAUCAAUCUUGGUCUUUGCCAAGGUAAUAGUAGAGGAGAAUGAUCAAAUUAUUUUAAUUGUUGAAGGGUUGAUUAUUAUUUACAACCUUUGUUGGUAAUUUGUGUUCUUUUCCUGUGAGUUACCUGUUCAUGUUGUUUAUUUGUUUUUAUAAUUUAGGAUAUUGAUCUUUUUACAUAUUGGUUCAGCAGAUUCACAGGAUUUUCCAUGUAUUAUGGAUAUUAACCCCCUGUUUCUGUGAUGUAUUAUUUUCCCCAGUGUUUGGAGUUGCUAUAUAUGUAAACGAAGCUGAUGAGGGUCUGGAUCGUUAAGAAAACGUACAGUACGAGGAGAGGCCGGCCCUUUUGGUGACCAGGAACAGCAACAUCGAAUGGAAACAGUUACUACAAAGAAGCUGGUGCUU